rnacentral:rRNA from 1 species
AGCGAACGCUGGCGGCAGGCCUAACACAUGCAAGUCGAACGAACCUUUCGGGGUUAGUGGCGGACGGGUGAGUAACACGUGGGAACGUGCCUUUAGGUUCGGCAUAACUCAGGGAAACUUGUGCUAAUACCGAAUGUGCCCUUCGUGGGAAAGAUUAAUCGCCUUUAGAGCGGCCCGCGUCUGAUUAGCUAGUUGGUUGAGGUAAUGGCUCACCAAGGCGACGAUCAGUAGCUGGUCUGAGAGGAUGAUCAGCCACAUUGGGACUGAGACACGGCCCAAACUCCUACGGGAGGGAGCAGUGGGGAAUCUUGCGCAAUGGGCGAAAGCCUGACGCAGCCAUGCCGCGUGAAUGAUGAAGGUCUUAGGAUUGUAAAAUUCUUUCACCGGGGACGAUAAUGACGGUACCCGGAGAAGAAGCCCCGGCUAACUUCGUG